rnacentral:rRNA from 1 species
AGCGAACGCUGGCGGCAAGCUUAACACAUGCAAGUCGAACACCCCGCAAGGGGAGUGGCGGACGGGUGUAUAACACGUGGGAAUCUACUUUCAGUAUGGGAUAACUCAGGGAAACUUGAGCUAAUACCGUAUAAUGUCUCCGGACCAAAGAUUUAUCGCUGAAAGAUGAGCCCGCGCCUGAUUAGCUAGUUGGUGGGGUAAUGGCCUACCAAGGCGACGAUCAGUAGCUGGUCUGAGAGGAUGAUCAGCCACACUGGGACUGAGACACGGCCCAGACUCCUACGGGAGGCAGCAGUGGGGAAUAUUGGACAAUGGGGGAAACCCUGAUCCAGCUAUGCCGCGUGUGUGAUGAAGGCCUUCGGGUUGUAAAGCACUUUAGUCGGGGACGAUAAUGACGGUACCCGAAGAAUAAGCUCCGGCAAACUUCGUGCCAGCAGCCGCGGUAA